AACGAACGCUGGCGGCAUGCCUAACACAUGCAAGUCGAACGAGACCUUCGGGUCUAGUGGCGCACGGGUUCGUAACGCGUGGGAACCUGCCCUUAGGUUCGGAAUAACUCCCCGAAAGGGGUGCUAAUACCGGAUAAUGUCUUCGGACCAAAGAUUUAUCGCCUUUGGAUGGUCCCGCGUUGGAUUAGCUAGUUGUUAGGGUAAAAGCCUACCAAGGCGACGAUCCAUAGCUGGUCUGAGAGGAUGAUCAGCCACACUGGGACUGAGACACGGCCCAGACUCCUACGGGAGGCAGCAGUGGGGAAUAUUGGACAGUGGGCGAAAGCAUGAUGCAGCACUGCCGCGUGAGUGAUGAAGGUCUGAGGGUUGUAAAGCUCUUUUACCCGGGAUGAUAAUGACAGUACCGGGUGAAUAAGCUCCGGCUAACUACGUG
rnacentral:rRNA from 1 species